CUGUACAUGUGCGCCCGCACGUGGUAUUUUGUGGAAGAGCCACACUCAAGGGGCCAAAGAGCCGCAUGUGGCUCGCGAGCCGCGGUUUGCCGACCACUGCCCUAGGUUUUUGUCUUUUUCUGCUUGCUUCUAUCUUGAACCCAGCUGAACUAGGCAGAUGCUUUAAAUGUGGCAGACGUGGUCUCCUGCUGGAACUCCUCCGCCCCCACCGAGAAUGGGCCAAGCAUGCAGCCAGACAGCGACUUCUCUCCCUGCGAGGUCAGCACGCAUGUGCUGCCAAGGGCCAGAGAAUUCAUACUUUUGGCUUUCAGACUGCAGGCCUGUGUCCUGACUUCUCAGUUGUGCCCUUGCCACCUGAGAGCAGCCAUAGACAAUAAGUAUACAAAGUUUGAAUGUCAGAACUGAGCACAGAGCUGUAAUGCCCAAAGCUGCUCCCCUCUGCAGUCUCCUCUGCUGUGGAAGAGGUAUAAUUGAACUCUUACUUUGUAUUGCAAAGAUCGUUUUGAUAAGAGAAUACAUUUCUCAGACUGAAAACCUAAAAAUGGAUGAAACAGGCCAUUUAAAAGAGCCAGCUGCCUUUUAAAUAAGUUAUUACAGCGCGUUGCCAGGGUGAGCCUUGUUGACCCGAGAAGAUUAGCACAUCCAUCAAAGGUUGGUGAGAAGAUUUAGUAUUGACAUGUUUUUCCCUAAGAACACUCACUCCACGUCUCAGACCCUGCCCUGUGACACAUACAUUACUUUCAUCCGCCCCAGGUGCUUGUUUUUCCCAGCUCUCAUUUUAUUACUGGAGUUGCAAUUUGAGCCUGGGUAUUGUAGACAAAAAUCAGAAUUAAUUUCCCCUGAGGUGACGUGUGACUAAAAUUCCAAGUCUUCAGUAGUUCUCUUUUUUAUAUUUUAAACUCAUAAGCCUAAAUAGAAAAUGGAUGUAACUCGGGCACAAAUACAGACUAAUUCUAUUGG